AGAGUUUGAUUCUGGCUCAGAUUGAACGCUGGCGGCGUGCUUAACACAUGCAAGUCGAACGUGAAAGUCCUUCGGGACGAGUAAAGUGGCGCACGGGUGAGUAACGCGUGGAUAAUCUACCCUUAAGAUGGGGAUAACGGCUGGAAACGGUCGCUAAUACCGAAUACGCUCCCGAUUUUAUCAUUGGGGGGAAAGAUGGCCUCUGCUUGCAAGCUAUCGCUUAAGGAUGAGUCCGCGUCCCAUUAGCUAGUUGGCGGGGUAACGGCCCACCAAGGCAACGAUCGGUAGCCGGGCUGAGAGGGUGACCGGCCACACUGGAACUGGAACACGGUCCAGACUCCUACGGGAGGCAGCAGUGGGGAAUAUUGCGCAAUGGGCGAAAGCCUGACGCAGCGACGCCGCGUGAGGGAUGAAGGUUCUCGGAUCGUAAACCUCUGUCAGGGGGGAAGAAACCCCCUCGUGUGAAUAAUGCGAGGGCUUGACGGUACCCCCAAAGGAAGCACCGGCUAACUCCGUGCCAGCAGCCGCGGUAAUACGGAGGGUGCAAGCGUUAAUCGGAAUCACUGGGCGUAAAGCGCACGUAGGCGGCCUGGUAAGUCAGGGGUGAAAUCCCACAGCCCAACUGUGGAACUGCCUUUGAUACUGCCAGGCUUGAGUACCGGAGAGGGUGGCGGAAUUCCAGGUGUAGGAGUGAAAUCCGUAGAUAUCUGGAGGAACACCGGUGGCGAAGGCGGCCACCUGGACGGUAACUGACGCUGAGGUGCGAAAGCGUGGGUAGCAAACAGGAUUAGAUACCCUGGUAGUCCACGCU
rnacentral:rRNA from 1 species